GAUGAACGCUGGCGGCGUGCCUAACACAUGCAAGUCGAACGGAGAUUACGGACGGAAGUUUUCGGAUGGAAGCCUGUAAUUCUUAGUGGCGGACGGGUGAGUAACGCGUGGGCAACCUGCCCUAUACAGGGGGAUAGCAGCUGGAAACGGCUGGUAAGACCGCAUAAGUCGGUUAAAUCGCAUGAUUUGAUCGGGAAAUGAGCAAUCAGGUAUAGGAUGGGCCCGCGUCCGAUUAGCCAGUUGGCAGGGUAAAAGCCUACCAAAGCGACGAUCGGUAGCCGGACUGAGAGGUCGGACGGCCACAUUGGGACUGAGACACGGCCCAAACUCCUACGGGAAGCAGCAGUGGGGGAUAUUGCACAAUGGAGGAAACUCUGAUGCAGCGACGCCGCGUGAGUGACGAAGUAUUUCGGUAUGUAAAGCUCUAUCAGCAGGGAAGAUGAUGACGGUACCUGACUAAGAAGCCCCGGCUAACUACGUG
rnacentral:rRNA from 1 species